rnacentral:siRNA from 1 species
UGGACUCGUUAUUAUGGACACUA